AUACGGAGGAUGCGAGCGUUAUCCGGAUUUAUUGGGUUUAAAGGGAGCGUAGGUGGGAUAUUAAGUCAGCUGUGAAAGUUUGGGGCUCAACCUUAAAAUUGCAGUUGAUACUGGUUUCCUUGAGUACAGUAGAGGUGGGCGGAAUUCGUGGUGUAGCGGUGAAAUGCUUAGAUAUCACGAAGAACUCCGAUUGCGAAGGCAGCUCACUAGACUGUUACUGACACUGAUGCUCGAAAGUGUGGGUAUCAAACAGGAUUAGAUACCCUGGUAGUCCACACAGUAAACGAUGAAUACUCGCUGUUUGCGAUAUACAGUAAGCGGCCAAGCGAAAGCAUUAAGUAUUCCACCUGGGGAGUACGCCGGCAACGGUGAAACUCAAAGGAAUUGGCGGGG
rnacentral:rRNA from 1 species